AGUCGACGUCUUUUCCUGGUGCCUGAGGACCAGCAUAGCUGCUGUAAAGGCAAUGAGCUAUGAGUUAUGAGGUGUGAUAACUUAUGACAAGCCCCUAAGCAAGGAAGCUAACCCCCAAACUACAGACUGAAUCCCCAAAAACCGUGAGUCAAAAUAAACCUUCUGUUUUUCAAAAUGGGUUCAUUUUAGAUAUUUGUUAUACUAAGAAAAAGCAAGCAGAUUAUUUAGAAACUAUCAAUAAAAUGGAGGGUAACUCUCCCUCUUGAUAGAAAGGGUGAAGAUCAGAACUGAAAUUAACCUGUUGAACUCCCAAGCCUGGGCUGCUACUCACUUCUCUAAAAUGUUAUAGUUUGUGUUUUACUAAAGCCUUUCUCGUUUCCUAGUUUAGUGUGUCAUCCUUUAUUUUGUCAUCAAAACUUUGAAAGUAGAGCACCACGUCCCCCGAUCUUCUUCUGCUCACCGUCCUUGGGGACCCAGAGGUCCUGUUAACACCUCAUAAUAAAUUCCCCACCCCAGCACCAGCCAGAGCUUUUGGCUUCCACGGUUAGCUUGUGUGGCAGUCAACAAUCCCACACUUAAAGUCACCGGCUGACCGAGCAGCAAAGUUGAGGGCCAGCUUUGUGCUCCAGAGGGCGAUAAAUCCAGCCCCACAUGAGCUACAGAGAAGUGCAGAAACCAUUGUGUUAUCUUAUCACCUGGGCCAUUCAGGUCUUGCAUGAAGAAAUCCCUGGAUCAGAGUCAAAAUCGACUCCAGCCAACAUGUCUUCUAAAUAACCAUUGUUUAUUCAGAGUUUGAUAAUUAAUCAACUCCGCAAACAUUUAUUUAGCGCUUACAGUAUUCCAGGCGUUGCGCUAGUCACAAUGGGGGAACGUAAGUGAACAAGAGUCCCUGUUGUCAGGAUGCCCAGCUAACCAGAUAAUUAAUUAUUUGACAAUGUAUUGAAUAUGCUGGUGGAGACAUGCCCACAGAGUACACAGCAAGGGCAACGAAGCUGGGUGUGGUGACACACACCUGUAAUCCUAGCACAUAGGAUGUAGGAGGUGAAGACAGGAGGACUAAGAAGCCAAGGUCAUCCUCAGCUACACAACAAGUUCAAGGCUAGCGUGGGAUACGUGACACCCUGCCUCAGUCUCUCUCUGUCCCUUGCCAAAAGUGCAAUGACCUCAGUUUGCUUGAGGAUCCGAGAGGGGACAAGAAGUCUCUUGAUGCAACUUUUGGAGUCCAGUUCUGAC
ensembl:lincRNA Gm37306 predicted gene, 37306